rnacentral:lncRNA from 1 species
CCUUCUAUCACUGUCUAAACAAACAAUGUACACGUACGGUUUUUUUAAAACCAGAAAUGAAUUUUUACUAAAUAUAUAUAACUCUUUAUUUUUUCAUUUCAUUUUUUGCAAAAAUAUAAAACAAAAUUAUUUACAUGAGUACGGAAACCGACAAUACUUAUUUUAAAUCAAACUACAAUUUUACGACAUCAAUUUCGAAAAUCAUCUUUUAUAAAUAAAUUCCCUCUUUUUUAUAUAUCCUUUUAAUUUUUCAUACAAGCAUGUUGUAAUCCCGAUGCCACAUGAAAAAAGAAUAAUCUCUAUUAUACAUAAGACUUAUAGUCAUUAAUUGUGUAAGGUAUUGGAUGGGGUUUACACCUCAACUUUAUGUGUUGCAACAUCGUAUCAAGUGAAGAUCUGCAUCUACAUUGUAUGCAUUUGUUGGACAAACUGCAUAAAUUAUCCUUGGAAUUCAUCAUUUUUAAAAUCUGAUUAUAAAUCUAUAACUUCUGUCUCUUUCUGGAUUAUAUCUCUACAAACAUAUAUAUGGAAUACAUGCGUAAUGCAUUAACAUUUGGGGAACUGUUGUACAAAAGAAAAAUAUUUUACCAGUAAGUACAUAUCAUUGACUAUUCUACAAAUAAAAGUAUUCGCCAAUAUUCGUGCAAAUAUCCUUUGAUUAAACAUGUUAAAGGCAAAUUCUUAAAAAAUAAAAAAAAAUAAUCACAAUCUGUUUUACAACAACUAUGCCAUUUUCAAACGAUAUUGCAUUGUGGCAAUACCGGGGAAAAGUGCACCAUUAUUUUUUGUGAAAAUUUUCUCGUGUAUCAAAAUAUUACUGAUCUUUCCCAUGUAAAAUUGUCAAAGAGCACCAUUUUUGAAAUCAGCUUAUCUUUUCAACAGACUAUUUCACUAACAGAAAACACCUAUAAUUAUCAUAUCUAACUAAAUUUUCUGUGCAUGACAACAUCUCCCCGUCUACCCUGCACGCGCAACCGUUUUGAAAGUUUGAAACACAGUUAGUUUUCUGCUUAUAGUAAACUGCACUUGUUUAAUAUUAAGUAGUAUUUCUGGUAACUAACGUUAUCCUUUUUUAAAGUGAAUAUUUUGAUGAAAUUGAAUCGUGUUCGAAUUUCAACUAAGACUAGUACCAAAC